UGGGGAAUUUUGGACAAUGGGCGCAAGCCUGAUCCAGCCAUGCCGCGUGAGUGAAGAAGGCCUUCGGGUUGUAAAGCUCUUUCGGCCGGGAAGAAAUCGUGUUCUCUAACAUAGGACAUGGAUGACGGUACCGGACUAAGAAGCACCGGCUAACUACGUGCCAGCAGCCGCGGUAAUACGUAGGGUGCGAGCGUUAAUCGGAAUUACUGGGCGUAAAGCGUGCGCAGGCGGUUUUGUAAGACAGAUGUGAAAUCCCCGGGCUUAACCUGGGAACUGCGUUUGUGACUGCAAGGCUAGAGUACGGCAGAGGGGGGUGGAAUUCCUGGUGUAGCAGUGAAAUGCGUAGAUAUCAGGAGGAACACCGAUGGCGAAGGCAGCCCCCUGGGCCUGUACUGACGCUCAUGCACGAAAGCGUGGGGAGCAAACAG
rnacentral:rRNA from 1 species